CUCCAUAGUUGUUCUGCGGUGGCGGCGCUCCUCCAUAGUUGUUCUGUGGUGGCGGCGCUCCUCCAUAGUUGCUCUGUAGUGGCGGCGUCCCUCCAUACUUGUUCUGUGGUGGCGGCGCUCCUCCAUAGUUGUUCUGUGGUGGCGGCGCUCCUCCAUAGUUGUUCUGUGGUGGCGGCGCUCCUGCAUAGUUGUUGGGCGGUGGUGUUCCACCAUAGUUGUUGGGCGGUGGUGUUCCACCAUAGUUGUUGGGCGGUGGUGUUCCACCAUAGUUGUUCUGCGGCAUCCCUCCGAGGUUGUUCUGUGGCAUCCCUCCGAGGUUGUUCUGUGGCAUCCCUCCAAGGUUGUUCUGUGGCAUGCUUCCCAUAUUUGGUGACAUGUUGCUGCUGGAAGGGACGUUGUUAGGGGGCAUGCCACUCAUAUUAGGUGCAGGGUUUGGCAUACCCUGGUUCUGAAAAUUGCGGUUCUGCAUGUUCUCCCUUCUUCUUUCAAAGUUUCUAGAUCUAUCGUAGCUGCGAGGCCUAUCAUUGCGCCUAUUACGCUCAUUAGC
rnacentral:lncRNA from 1 species